GUCCACACAGUAAACUAUGGAUACUCGCUGCCGGCGAUACACGGUCGGUGGCCUAGCGAAAGCGUUAAGUAUCCCACCUGGGGAGUACGCCGGCAACGGUGAACUCAAAGGAAUUGACGGGGCCCGCACAAGCGGAGGAACAUGUGGUUUAAUUCGAUGAUACGCGAGGAACCUUACCCAGGCUCGAAACGGCAAGUUGGAGGUCGGUGGAGACACCUUCCGUCUUCGGACAAUUUGUCGAGGUGCUGCAUGGUUGUCGU
rnacentral:rRNA from 1 species